rnacentral:rRNA from 1 species
ACUCAAAGGAAUUGACGGGGGCCCGCACAAGCGGUGGAGCAUGUGGUUUAAUUCGAUGCAACGCGAAGAACCUUACCAAGGCUUGACAUGGAGAUGACCACUUCAGAGAUGAGGUUUCCCUUCGGGGCAUUUCACACAGGUGGUGCAUGGUUGUCGUCAGCUCGUGUCGUGAGAUGUUGGGUUAAGUCCCGCAACGAGCGCAACCCCUACGUUCAGUUGCCAUCGGUUUAGCCGGGCACACUGGAGGGACUGCCGUGGAUAACACGGAGGAAGGUGGGGAUGAUGUCAAAUCAUCAUGCCCCUUAUGUCUUGGGCUACACACGUGCUACAAUGGUCCUAAACAAAGUGCGGCAAAGCGGCGACGCUAAGCAAACCACGAAACAGGACCCCAGUUCGAAUUGCAGGCUGCAACCCGCCUGCAUGAAGUCGGAAUCGCUAGUAAUCGCGAAUCAGCAUGUCGCGGUGAAUACGUUCCCGGGCCUUGUACACACCGCCCGU